UGUUCAACUUCAAUGCAUACCUUUCAUAUUCGAAGUAAUCAUUAAUUCUGAAGGAGCAUUAAAAAAUAAUCCUACGGUCUGUCAGACUUUGAGCCUAACUAGUUCAAAGUAUCAGUAAAUUGAAAUACAAAACCUACUAAAUUCUGAUAUCGAGAAAACUUCAUUAAUUCUUACAUUCAUUCAGUCAGUCGUCCAUGUAGACUUGGUAGGUUCUAAAUAAAUAUAUGCUAAAUGGAAGAAUGAAUGAAUGAAUAAACUUUUAUGUAUCUAGUGCAUAGCUCUCAUAUGUUAAAUGGUCACUAACUCUGAGUGAACAUUAAACAAAAACAUUCUAGUUGCUGGUGAUCGUGUAGUAAGCAUGACAGAUUAAGUUUCUUACCCUCAUGGAGCUUACAUUCUAAUGAUGAAAUUUCAUCAAAACUAUUUAUUCAUUUCAAACCAAACACCAAGGCAAUUGGGCAAAUAUUCUUUUCUCAUUUUCUUUUAGAACUCUUAUGGUUUUCUUUUCUUUUUACCAGGGACACGCUGCGGAUGGCUUGAGAUUAGUAUCUGCGCAGGUGCCAUUCUCACAGUGUGUGCUGUGAGAAUGUCGCAGACGUGUGCUGCUACUCUGGCACUCACACUUGUCCAGGCUGUUUCUUAGGUGGUCAUCUUGCCUGUGGUAUCAGAAAAAGGGAUUUCUACUUAGUAUUAAGAAGUUGAAACCAAAGUAGAAAAUAUUCAUCCUUUGCUUUCCCCAAACAAUUCUUCUGCCUAGAAAUGUCAACAACUUAACCACAUGCAAAUACCCAUUUGUGGACAAAUGUGUACAAAAGACAUUUGGGGUUCCCCUCUUUGAGACUAGAUUAAAGCUGACCAUAUAGAUAGGGAAGAAAACUGUUUUUCUCUGUAGCAUCAUAUUGCUGCUUUGUAUAUUUUCUGAUAGAGUAGCAUCAGGUCCUCUGGCUGCUUUAUUGAAAUCAUCUUUGACGUUUCUAACAAGGAAAUUUCCUGUGCAAAACUCUAGUUAGAGAUUUCAGUGACUUGUAUCACCAAGAGGAGGACCAUCAGCAUGCAGUGGAGGUCUAGGCUUCAGACAUGUGAGGCACACUGAGGAGCAGCUUUAUUUGCAAGAGGUAUUAGGAAUCUUCCUAACAAAGUUGACCUUCAGGAUGGGAGAAAUCAAAGCACAGACCAUAGAUCCAAAAAAAAUGGCUUCUGGUCAGAAAAGGUGAUCUGAGAUUAGGGGAAGAUGUGUCAUCAAUAUCAUCCCCUGGUCCAGCCCUGUGAAAUCACACCUGAGUGGUAGAGAAAUAUCUAUGAAAAAAUAGUAAAACAGAAACAAAUGUUUCUGUCUGGCAGACAGGCAGCUGCAUGGCUUUCAGGGCCAGGUAGAGGGGACAUCACAUGUACAUGGUGGCAGCGGGAUGUCCCCAGGUAGCAGAAAGUCGCAGGUGGCUCAUCAGAGACCCUAAAGAACUAGCCCCCUACUUGUAGGUGUCAGUGGCUGUGGUAGGAGUGGCCAUAGAUAGUUUCUGGUUACACAAGAUUGGUGUGGGAACAGCAUGACCACGAGAAAAAUCUGGGUUGACGGCCCCAGGGAGCUGGAGCAGAAUAUUAACAAUAGUAGCUAGCAUUUGAGUGCUGCCCAUGUGCUUGAAAAUGUUCUAGGUGAUUUACCUUUAUUAGCUCCUAUAAUUCUCAAAACGACCUCGAGUUAGGUCUUUCUAUUAUUCCUAUUUUAUAGACAAAGCAGUGGAGCCACAGAGAGGUUAAGUAACUUGCCCAAUGUCACACAGCAAAAAGUGGCAGAGCCACAAUUUUAAUUUGGGUUGAAGAGGAAAAUAGAUAAUGCAUAUUCCUAGGAUCUGAGAGAUGUUUGAGGUGAGGGGGAAUGAGAGGCUCUCCUUUGAAAGAAGCAGCAGGGGGUACUGAAACAGAGUAGAAGAGUGUGAAAGCUGGUGGGGUUGUUGUUGUUGUUGUUUUUAGUCCUAAGUUAGUGGCAUGAAAGCACUGCCCUGGAAGCGAUGGAGCAGCAAGUGCUCUACCCACAUGGAAGUCUUUGGGACCUGCACUUCAAUGAGCGCAGAGAGGAAAAGGAGAGAAGAACCAACACAACUGAAGCACCUACGAGCGUCAGGCACUGGCCCAGCUGCCAUGGACCCCCGAGUUGAAGGUCGUAUAACCUCAGCCUGCCCAAAUGAACCAAGCACACAACCACAGGGGGAACCCAAGAGUUCCAGUGGGAGAGCUGGAAGAGGAGGGACCAAUGUGAGAAGUGGACACCAUAUGGCAGGAUCCAGGAUCCAAUCAGACUGAGCCCUGGGGUCACCCCAUGGAAGGAUCCAGUUGGAUCAUGCCUCCUGGCAUCACCUACUGCAAGAUCCAAUCAGAUCACACCUCCUUACCCUAUGCUUAUAAAACCCCACCCAGCCCCCAGCCCGAAGAUACAGAUUUGAGUAUUUCCUCCUGUUUCCUUACCAGUCG
ensembl:lncRNA HULC hepatocellular carcinoma up-regulated long non-coding RNA